GAUGAACGCUGGCGGCGUGCCUAAUACAUGCCAGUCGAGCGAACAGACGAGGAGCUUGCUCCUCUGACGUUAGCGGCGGACGGGUGAGUAACACGUGGAUAACCUACCUAUAAGACUGGGAUAACUUCGGGAAACCGGAGCUAAUACCGGAUAACAUGUUGAACCGCAUGGUUCAACAGUGAAAAACGGUCUUGCUGUCACUUAUAGAUGGAUCCGCGCCGCAUUAGCUAGUUGGUAAGGUAACGGCUUACCAAGGCAACGAUGCGUAGCCGACCUGAGAGGGUGAUCGGCCACACUGGAACUGAGACACGGUCCAGACUCCUACGGGAGGCAGCAGUAGGGAAUCUUCCGCAAUGGGCGAAAGCCUGACGGAGCAACGCCGCGUGAGUGAAGAAGGUCUUCGGAUCGUAAAACUCUGUUAUUAGGGAAGAACAAAUGUGUAAGUAACUAUGCACGUCUUGACGGUACCUAAUCAGAAAGCCACGGCUAACUACGUG
rnacentral:rRNA from 1 species